rnacentral:rRNA from 1 species
GACGUAGGGCGCGAGCGUUGUCCGGAUUUAUUGGGCGUAAAGAGCUCGUAGGCGGCUUGUCGCGUCGACUGUGAAAUCCCGCGGCUCAACUGCGGGUCUGCAGUCGAUACGGGCAGGCUAGAGUCCGGUAGGGGAGCGUGGAAUUCCUGGUGUAGCGGUGAAAUGCGCAGAUAUCGAGGAGGAACCAAGCCAAUGGCGAAGGCAGCUGCGCUG